CUUAUCAGGACCGUCGUGUUUUCAGGAGGCGCUAACAACAGUUCACUUUAAGUUCGCGAGCGCGGAGCUUUUCAGAAAACACUCGCUCUCUCAGACACUAUGCUAUCUCAAAUUCUCUCACGAAACUUUCACAAAACCCUCGCUCUCUCAACUCUCUCUCACAUCGAUGAAGCACAUCUCCCUCUCACCAUCCACCGAGUUUGCAGAGAUCGCCAUCUCCAUCGCGUCAUUCAGUCCACCGAGCUCACCGCGUUCAGUCCACCGAACUCGCCUCGUUCGCCAAAAUUUAUUCUCUCCCUCUGAAAACGAACCAAGCUCAAGCACUAAUUUGAAGGGAAAAACCCCAAGUUGCUGCUACAAGGAAGCUUACUCAGUGGUCAAGAAAGGUACUAGCAUACAACUUUCUUUGCCUUGCUCCACUUGAGUUGUCAGUCUGUAACAAAGCUUCAAGCAUGGCAUUUCAAGUAUUUUGACCUAUUGUUGCUGAUAUUGCUAGAGUGGAGGGGGGAAUACAACAACUUGGAAAAUGUGCAAGGAAGGCGGAGCUAACUCAUACAUCCAAGAACAAAUUGAUGAAGUUUGUAUCAAAUUAGUAGAAUUUGUGAGCAA